AUACUUACCUAGAAGUGUAGAUACCAUGAUCAUGAUGGUGGUUUUUCCAGGGCGAGGCUUGUCCAUUGCACUCUGUAUGUAUUGACCCCUGCCAUUUCCCCAAAUGUGGGAAACUCGAAUGCAUAAUUUGUGGUAGUGGGGGAGUGUGUUCUUAUGCUCCCUGU
rnacentral:snRNA from 1 species